GGUGGAGUGACCGAGUGGUUAAGGUGCUGUGUUUAGGUCAUCAUCACGAUACCAUAAAUCCGCAGUGGGAAACCGCGCGAGUUCGAAUCUCGUCUCCAUCA